GGGUUCACUCCUGGAAUUUCCAUUAACCUUAAUAGUUAUCUAUUAAGUAGUUUUGGUGUCUGAUUCAUUAGAAUCGGGAGCACCAUCUGCGUAGGCUUAUAAAAUUAAGGGUUUAACCACCUACGGUCUUGGAUAGCCCCCGCCAGGCAGGGACCCCAAUUUGA
rnacentral:sRNA from 1 species